AGCGAGAGACAGAGAGAGAGAGAGAGAGAGAGAGGGAGAGGAGUCUGAGAAUGAGAGAGCAAAGCAGAGAAGAAUCGAAUUGACGUUUUUGUGUCUAUAACCGGUUUGGUUCCCUCUCUCUCUCUCUCUCUCUCUCUGUCACUCUUUGU
rnacentral:miRNA from 1 species